rnacentral:rRNA from 1 species
GACAGAGGGUGCAAACGUUGUUCGGAAUUACUGGGCGUAAAGCGCGUGUAGGCGGUCUCGCAAGUCGGAUGUGAAAGCCCAGGGCUCAACCCCGGGCGUGCAGUGGAUACGGGCUGGCUGGAGGCAGGCAGGGGAGAACGGAAUUCCUGGUGUAGCGGUGAAAUGCGCAGAUAUCAGGAGGAACACCGGUGGCGAAGGCGGUUCUCUGGGCCUGUACUGACGCUGAGGAGCGAAAGCGUGGGGAGCGAACAGG